AGAAUUUUCCGCAAUGGGCGCAAGCCUGACGGAGCGACGCCGCGUGCAGGAUGAAGGCCUUCGGGUUGUAAACUGCUGUUAUCUGUUAUGAAUCGAUGCAGGUUAAUAGCCUGUGUCGUGACAAAGGCAGAAGAGGAAGUCACGGCUAACUUCGUGCCAGCAGCCGCGGUAAGCCGAAGGUGGCAAGCGUUGCUCGGAAUUACUGGGCAUAAAGGGCGCGUAGGUGGCGCAGUUAGUCGGCGGUGAAAGCCUGUGGCUCACCCAUAGAAUUGCCGUCGAUACUGCUGUGCUCGAGGGCAGGAGGGGAGAGUGGAACUCCUGGUGUAGCGGUGAAAUGCGUAGAUAUCAGGAGGAACGCCGGUGGCGAAAGCGACUCUCUGGACUGCUCCUGACACUGAGGCGCGAAAGCUAGGGGAGCAAAC
rnacentral:rRNA from 1 species